GCCCGCCUAGCUCAAUCGGAUAGAGCGUCAGACUCUUAUGUACCUAGGCACGGUGUGGCAUCUGAAGGCUGCGAGUUCGACCCUCGCGGUGGGCU